CGAUCAGAAGAAGUAGCCGGGAGAGCUCAAACCCUAGUUCAGCAAAUCCUCCAAAUCGAAGCUCAAAUCAAGCCCGAAUCGUCUGCAUGAUUACAAAUUCGUGAUCGCCUAGUCGUGGGGAUCAUAAGUUGACUCUAAACAAGCUAGGUGGGAGCUUGAAAAGGAACGGGUCAAACGGAUCAUGGAUGCGAAGAAUGUUUGCGCGGACGCGAGGUACAUUUUGGAUGCCGGAAGACGAUCAAGCUCGACGAAGGACCGAACACAAUAUAGAUACAUGCUUCCGCACUUUAACACUUUGCAAAUUUUAAACAACGAAUUCAACCACGUUAUGUAGAAUAAC